rnacentral:rRNA from 1 species
AAAUUGAAGAGUUUGAUCAUGGCUCAGAUUGAACGCUGGCGGCAGGCCUAACACAUGCAAGUCGAACGGUAACAGGAAACAGCUUGCUGUUUCGCUGACGAGUGGCGGACGGGUGAGUAAUGUCUGGGAAACUGCCUGAUGGAGGGGGAUAACUACUGGAAACGGUAGCUAAUACCGCAUAACGUCGCAAGACCAAAGAGGGGGACCUUCGGGCCUCUUGCCAUCGGAUGUGCCCAGAUGGGAUUAGCUUGUUGGUGGGGUAACGGCUCACCAAGGCGACGAUCCCUAGCUGGUCUGAGAGGAUGACCAG